AUUGAACGCUGGCGGCAGGCCUAACACAUGCAAGUCGAACGUGCGGCGGACGGGAGAGUAAUGUGUGGGAAAAUGCCUGAUGGAGGGGGCUAAGUACUGGAAACGAUAGCUAAUAAAGCAUACCACAGGAACUUCACAGUUGGGAUUAGCUAGCAGGUGGGGUAAAGGCUAACCUAGGCGACGAUCCCACGCAGGUCUGAGAGGAUGACCAGCCACACUGGAACUGAGACACGGUCCAGACUCCUACGGGAGGCAGCAGUGGGGAAUAUUGCACAAUGGGCGAAAGCCUGAUCCAGCCAUGCCGCGUGUGUGAAGAAGGCCUUCGGGUUGUAAAGUACUUUCAGCGGGGAGGCGUUACCCGCAGAAUAAGCACCGGCUAACUCCGUGCCAGCAGCCGCGGUAAUAC
rnacentral:rRNA from 1 species